rnacentral:rRNA from 1 species
AUGGGCAACCAGAGGGAUAUAGAAAGAAGCCAGCUGAGGGUGAAAGUAUCAAUUGCAGCAGUUAAGUGGCUUACAACACAAUCGUGUGCAUUUAGAGGCCAUGAUGAAACUCCAGACUCAAAGAACAGAGGGAACUUUAUUGAAUUGUUAAAGCUCCUUGCAGAAUUCAAUCCCGAGAUUGCCGAAGUUAUUUUGGAGAAUGCUCCAUACAGUUUAAAGUACACAUCACAUGAAAUCCAACAGGAGAUUUUGGGUAUUUAUGCAUUGAAAGUUAGGAAACAUAUCCGUGAAGAGAUUGGGGAUUCUAAGUUUUCUAUUCUAGUGGACGAGACAUGUGAUGUAGCAAAAAGAGAGCAGAUGGCAUUGGUCCUCAGAUUUCUUGAUGAAGAUCGUAUAUUGCAAGAGCGGUUCUUUGCCUUGAUACAUGUGACGAACACCAAAGCCGCAACACUUAAAGGGGUAUUGAGUUCUGUGUUAUCCAAACAUGCUUUUGAUGUUCAGAACCUUCGUGGGCAGGGAUACGAUGGGGCUAGUAAUAUGAGGGGGGAGUUCAAUGGCUUGCAAGCUCUUUUUCUUAGAGAAUGCCAGUGUGCAUAUUAUGUCCACUGUUAUGCUCAUCGCUUGCAACUUGCGCUAGUGUCUGCAUCAAAGGAAGUGGUCACUGUUUCUCAAUUCUUUCAGAAACUUCUUUUUAUUGUAAACACCGUUGACUCCUCUGCAAAGCGCCAUAUGAGCUUCGUGAUGCCCAGUUGGAGGAACUAG